rnacentral:rRNA from 1 species
AGGAAGACUUCGCGGCCGAUCAACUUGUUGGCGAGGUAAUGGCUCACCAAGGCGACGACGGGCAUCCGGCCUGAGAGGGCGACCGGACACACUGGGACUGAGACACGGCCCAGACUCCUACGGGAGGCAGCGGUGGGGAAUAUUGGGCAAUGGACGAAAGUCUGACCCAGCGACGCCGCGUGAGGGAUGAAGGCCUUCGGGUUGUAAACCUCUUUCAGUACGGAAGAAGCGAAAGUGACGGUACCUAAAGAAGAAGCACCGGCUAACUAUGUGCCAGCAGCCGCGGUAAUACAUAGGGUGCAAGCGUUGUCCGGAAUUAUUGGGCGUAAAGAGCUCGUACGUGGUUUGUUGCGUCGGGUGUGAAAUUCAGGGGCUCAACCCCUGACCUGCACUCGAUACGGGCAUACUAGAGUUUGGUAGGGGAGACUGGAAUUCCUGGUGUAGCGGUGGAAUGCGCAUAUAUCAGGAGGAACACCAAUGGCGAAGGCAGGUCUCC